ACGUAACCUGUCAUAAAGGCUACAUAUGUAAUGUCUAACCCCUCCAUGUGCCUGCCUGGUAUCUGGUCCCCAUCCAGACUUUAACCUGAAGCAUAUGUCUUUGUAGGUUCUUCUGUUUGUGGCUGAACAAGGAGCCGUGAUGCAAACUAGACUGGUCCUGAUGGUGGUACCAGACUGGUCACUAGAAGAUGCCUGUUACUGAACUACCACAAGUUGAUGUCCUUGUGGGUCUUCAGUCUUCAGGAAGGUCGUAACUGUUCCAGCCUGGCCACUGGAGAACUGUUGCUGCACUACCUCAAGGUGUGUAGGAUCAACUUUGAUCUGUUGCCAUUAACUUCUGUCCUUUAUAAUGUAGAAGUGAUGAUUUCCUGUUACCGCCCCAGUCUGAUGUUAAGCUGACUGAUUGGUUACUGAACUGAUCUAUACUCUAGAGCAGUGUUUCACAAUCCUGGUUCUGGGGACCUAGAUGUA